CAGGGUUCCAACUCCCUAAACCAUGUGAAUUCAUACCUGUUCUCUCGGCCGGCGCUCUUGGAGGGCUCCGGCUGUAGGCUUCCGGGUCUACAGCGCCGGCCGGGGGGGUCACACUCUGAAAACAUCUCUUCUGAGUACCUACCAAAUAAGUCA
rnacentral:misc_RNA from 1 species